AUGAGAGUGAAUAUCGAAAGCUCAUUGAUCUCACGGUUCUGCUGAGUGCCGUUAUAACUAAUGAGCCAAAAAUAGUCGGAAUGUACUUUCAUCGCAGCGUCUCACUAAUUGAAUCGUCAGAUGUUAUUCGCGUGGAUUGGAAUCGUCGAGACGUUUAGCGAGCUGGCUCGACGAGCUGAUGAUCCAUAUCUUACGGAUCGUAAUUCCGAUUAUAUCGUAAAGAUAAAAUACGGAAAGGAUCACACCGUGGAGGAGAGCAUUAAUAUGAGAGCAACAGGAGAGAAAUAAAGCACUGGAUGUUCGAGCCACGAGCGAUAAUUUCUCUGGUUGGAGGUUCCUGUCCACGGACCGAGCCGUGGGACCGUCAGGUCGCCGUCGCGAAGCGUAUGUUACCCGUCAAAUUUGAAGUUUCGCACAGUUCAGGAUCCGCAAGGUUUGACGACGAGAAGCCUGGGAACGGCCCAAAAUAUUUGAUUAGCGAGAAACCCCAUCGGGAUGCCAUCCCUGCAGCGAAAAGUCGCCUCCGAGAAAUCCACCUCCGGAAACUCCUCCGCACCGAAGUGCUGGACCCACCAAGCUAUUUCUGCGUGUCCGACGAUUCCGAACGGUCAUCCCGAGGCGCUCAGGACUCACCGAAUGUUCCUACGUUUUCCAAUCUGACGGAUUUCCCACGAGGCGAAUGUCACGAAUGGCGAAUUUUCUUAAUUUCCCUCAAAACUAUUCAUUUGUUUCGUUUACUCCCUUCCAUGGAGUUCUUCCACAGCGCUCAUUAGAUUUACGAAAUACAAUUUUUCCAAAUCUUUGAAGCUCCCUUCUGAUCUUAACAACGAUUACGAAAUAGUUACGAAAUGAGUGUAAUCGCUCGCUAAAAUCCUGUAUCUCACGUCUAUCAUUUAUUCGACACGUACCGUUGUAUCUCAAUUCGAAAAUGCUGCACUCAAAUUGUUAAUAAGUUAGAAUUUCUCACGCAAAAAAUGAAGUGCGCCAGUGAAAUAUGCUUCGAAACAUUGUAGUUCGUAUAAGAGAAGAAUAAUAAGCAUCGCUGGUUCUGGGAGGAGCUUACAGGGUCGUUUAUUGCCACAGAAUAUAUCAUAUAUCUCGAUGUUAUUUCAUAACGACAAUUGGCAGUUACAGCUUCAACGCGUACCCGUUCAAUUAAACCUUUCUGGCUAUAUUUGCGUAUGGCAUCAAACGUUUGGUAUUUCCCCUUCCAAGUAAACGAGCAAGACACAAAA
rnacentral:misc_RNA from 1 species